rnacentral:rRNA from 1 species
CGGUCACAUUCCGAACCCGGAAGCUAAGACUCUUUGCGCCGAUGGUACUGCAGGGGGGACCCUGUGGGAGAGUAGGACACCGCCGGAC